AAAAGAAUGGGAAAACAAAUCUAAGUGCUGGAACCCUGUGGCUCUGCCUUCCCAUGGCUGUUUGGGGUGACCCCUGUGCUGUGUACUGACCUCCUGCAAGCAGCUGCUGGAAGAAUCACUCCCAUGCCCUGAGCUCACAGGCUGGAGUAAUUUGCUGAUGCUGUACAAGGAAUUGUGUCUCCUGGAAUUGUGUCUCCUGGAGACCUGGCUGGUGUGAUCAGAACUCACAUAUGGUACCAGAACAAAGGGCCCUUCAGGAUCUUUGUGAUAUCUGCUGAAGUCCUUGAGCCUUGACCCCAACAUCCGAGGGGGGAAUCAGACCUGGAGAAAAGUUUCUGCAAUUCAGAGAAACCAGGUGGCAUCUUCUGGAAGAAGAAUGUUGAAACUCAAACCUAGACUUCCAGCCUGAAUGUCCAUCAGGCCUUGAU
rnacentral:lncRNA from 1 species